rnacentral:tRNA from 1 species
UUAUGAAUUGAAUUAAUAUUACAAUGAAAAUGUAGUGUUUUUUUUUAAACUACAUUAGUAGAA